AAACUGCAAGUCGAGACGGGGAUAAUGCGAGCUUGCUCCCUGAUGUUAGCGGCGGACGGGUGAGUAACACGUGGGUAACCUGCCUGUAAGACUGGGAUAACUCCGGGAAACCGGGGCUAAUACCGGAUGGUUGUUUGAACCGCAUGGUUCAAACAUAAAAGGUGGCUUCGGCUACCACUUACAGAUGGACCCGCGGCGCAUUAGCUAGUUGGUGAGGUAACGGCUCACCAAGGCAACGAUGCGUAGCCGACCUGAGAGGGUGAUCGGCCACACUGGGACUGAGACACGGCCCAGACUCCUACGGGAGGCAGCAGUAGGGAAUCUUCCGCAAUGGACGAAAGUCUGACGGAGCAACGCCGCGUGAGUGAUGAAGGUUUUCGGAUCGUAAAGCUCUGUUGUUAGGGAAGAACAAGUACCGUUCGAAUAGGGCGGUACCUUGACGGUACCUAACCAGAAAGCCACGGCUAACUACGUGCCAGCAGCCGCGGUAAUACGUAGGUGGCAAGCGUUGUCCGGAAUUAUUGGGCGUAAAGGGCUCGCAGGCGGUUUCUUAAGUCUGAUGUGAAAGCCCCCGGCUCAACCGGGGAGGGUCAUUGGAAACUGGGGAACUUGAGUGCAGAAGAGGAGAGUGGAAUUCCACGUGUAGCGGUGAAAUGCGUAGAGAUGUGGAGGAACACCAGUGGCGAAGGCGACUCUCUGGUCUGUAACUGACGCUGAGGAGCGAAGCGUGGGGAGCGAACAGGAUGAAUACCCUGGUAGUCACGCCGUAAACGAUGAGUGCUAAGUGUA
rnacentral:rRNA from 1 species